UUGUCGACGCAUUGACCAAACGUAAUAGUCCAUGGAGUAGAACAGCCGACUGCGGAUCGUCAAUUGACCUCGCGGAAAAUUUUUAUUUCUCAAACAUCAUCAUAAUUUAAAUAAACAAAACAAUAGACCAUCAACGUUUUCAAAAUCAACCAAAAUAGAAAUAUUUGCUAAUGUCAAAAGCAAAUAUAACAAUAGAACUCCAAAUGCCAACUCAGCCACAAUUCAGUUUUGAAAAGCAAUAGAACGGAUACAGUUAAAGCUUCAGUUAACAAUUUUCACAACAAUACUAAUUAACAAACAUCAACAACAAUGUAAUGCAACAAUUUUCAUAAGAAACCCAAAUUCAACGAUUUAACUCGAAUUCCCAACCGUUAAAAGCGACAACAAAAAUGUGUUAAAGAUUAAUU